GGAGAAGGAGAGUAAGCACAAAAUGACACUGCAAGUAUUAAGUUGGAACAUUAAUGGUUUGAACUCCCGGGAAAAAAGGGGGAGAGUAUUUCAUAUAUUAAAAAAAGAACAUUUGGACUUGAUUUGUUUACAAGAAACGCAUGUGACAAGGCUACAUCGGAAAAUUUUGAUUAAUAAAAGAUUAGGAGAAGAAUUUAUUUCAUCAGACAAUGUGAAAAAAAGAGGAGUAGUACUUUAUGCAAAGGAAAGCCUGUCACCAAAAUUUUUAUUCAAAGAUGACCAAGGAAGAUAUAUUGCAAUUGAAAUUCAACUUCAUGGCCAGAAGUUUUUGACAUUAGGUAUCUAUGCGCCAAAUGAGGGAAAAUCAGAAUUUUUCAAAAAUUGCAUGAAAUCCUAUUGGACUAUCUGGAUUACAAUAUAAUUUUGAUGGGAGAUAUGAAUGGAGUAGUGUCUACAAACAUGGAUAAAGCCCAAAAACAAACGGUGAUGAAAGAUGGCAGACUACCAAAGACAUUCUUUGAAAUGACUGACAAUAUGGAUCUUGUUGAUAUUUGGAGAACAAAGAACCCCUUGGAAAGAGAAGGAACCUUCUUCUCUGAAGCAAAAAUGACAUGGACAAGAAUAGACCAAAUUUGGAUAACUAGGGGACUGGCCCCGAAGAUAAAAAAAGCGGUAAUUUCUCCUAAAAUUUGCUCUGAUCACAACCCAGUAAAGAUGGAAAUGGCAUUAAUGCCAAUUGGAGCUUUUAGAUGGAGGAUGAAUGACUCCUUGCUUAGGAAUGAGGAAAUUAUCAAAAAGGCCCAGAAAAACUUGAGAGACUAUUUUGAGAUAAAUAUGAACACUACGACCGAGAAAAGAGUGAUUUGGGAUGCAAGCAAAGCAGUGAUGAGAGGGUUCUUGAUACAACAAAAUGCAAUUAGGAAAAGAGUUCAAAAUGAGAAGAGGGAAAAAUUUUGGAGAAAAUAAAGGAUGGAGAAAAGAGACUGAGGGCAAAAUCGAACUCACAGGAGAUUUUAAAAGAGAUAAAGUUACAUCAAGUACAAUAUAUGAAACUGACGAAUCAGGAAAUAGAAUGGAAGAUCAAACAGAUGAGACAAAGGACAUUUGAAUCGGCGAAUAAGUGUGGGAAAUUAUUGGCAUGGCAAAUGAAAAAAAGACAAAAGCUUAAUACUAUUACGAACUUGGUAGUAGAAGGAAAGAGUAUACAGAACCCUGUGGAUAUUAGAAAGUGUUUUCAGAAGUACUUUAAACAGUUAUACACGCAGGAGACUCAGAAAGAAAUAGAUAUUGAUCGGUUUUUGAGAACAAAUGGAUUACAAAAAAUCUCUCAAGAGAGUAAAUCGAUGUUAAACUCUACAAUAUCUGAUCAAGAGGUGGAAGGAGCCAUUCAGGACAUGAAAUUGGGCAAAUCUCCAGGGCCAGAUGGUUUGACUGCAAAGUAUUAUAAAUCUUUGAAAGAAUGGUUAAUGCAGCCUUUGAAAGAAGUUUGCAAUGAAAUAUUAGGGGGGGGGGAAAGGCACCCGAGUCGUGGAAAGAAGCUUAUAUUACACUUAUACCGAAAACAGAAGCGGAAAAGACACAGCUUAAGAACUACCGUCCCAUAUCCCUACUUAAUGUGGAUUACAAAAUUUUUGCAGAAAUUAUGGCUAAAAGAUUAAAAAAUGUAUUGGUGAAAGAAAUCCAUAAGGACCAAGCGGGCUUUCUCCCGGGGAGGCAUUUGUCAGAUAAUACGAGGAAUAUUAUUAACAUUUUAGAAAAACUACAAGUUAAUAUUAAUACUAAAGCAGUUCUAAUAUUUGUGGAUGCGGAGAAAGCCUUUGAUAAUAUCUCUUGGAGUUUCAUGAAGAAAAAUUUACAGGGGAUGGGGGUAGGCCAAAGUUUUGAAAACGGUAUAGGUGCAAUUUAUUCGGAACAAAAAGCUAAGUUGAUUGUAAAUAAUGUAGUUACAGAAGAUUUUAAGAUAGAGAAAGGAACAAGACAGGGUUGUCCAAUCUCCCCACUGCUUUUUAUAUCGGUCCUGGAGGUCUUGCUUAACAUGAUCAGGAAAGGCCAAUUGGUUAAAGGUAUACAACUCGGAGCUAAACAGUAUAAAUUAAAAGCUUUCGCUGAUGAUUUGGUUUUGACACUACAGGAGCCAGAAUCCAGCACAAAAAGAGUAUUGCAAUUAAUCCAAGAAUUUGGUCAAGUAGCAGGUUUUAAACUGAAUAAGAUGAAAACUAAGGUGUUAGAGAAAAAUCUUACAGAGAUUGAGAAAGAGAGGUUUCAGAAGGAGACAGGAUUAACAUUGGUUAAGAAAGUGAAAUAUCUAGGGGUUCACAUGACUGCUAAAAAUGUGAAUUUAUUCAAAGAUAAUUAUG
rnacentral:lncRNA from 1 species